rnacentral:rRNA from 1 species
GGGCCCGCACAAGCAGUGGAGCAUGUGGUUUAAUUCGAUGCAACGCGAAGAACCUUACCAAGGCUUGACAUAUAGAGGAAAAGUGCAGAAAUGCACUCCCCGCAAGGUCUCUAUACAGGUGGUGCAUGGUUGUCGUCAGCUCGUGUCGUGAGAUGUUGGGUUAAGUCCCGCAACGAGCGCAACCCUCGUCCUAUGUUGCCAGCACGUAAUGGUGGGAACUCAUGGGAUACUGCCGGGGUCAACUCGGAGGAAGGUGGGGAUGACGUCAAAUCAUCAUGCCCCUUAUGUCUUGGGCUUCACGCAUGCUACAAUGGCCGGUACAGAGGGCUGCAAUACCGUAAGGUGGAGCGAAUCCCAAAAAGCCGGUCUCAGUUCGGAUUGAGGUCUGCAACUCGACCUCAUG